rnacentral:rRNA from 1 species
AAGGGGAGGGCAAGUCGUAACACGGUAAGUGUACCGGAAGGUGCACUUGGAACAAACCCAGGGUGUGGCUGAGUUAGUUAAGCAUCUCACUUACACCGAGAAGACAUCCAUGCAACUUGGAUUACCCUGAGCCAAACAGCUAGCUUAAACACCAACAUAACUAAACAAUAUAACUAAAAUAAAAUUAACCUGAUACAAAAAACUAAACCAUUCUUUUACCUGAGUACGGGAGACAGAAAAGGUUCAACCAAGCAAUAGAAGCAGUACCGUAAGGGAAAGCUGAAAAAGAAAUGAAACAACCCAUAUAAGCACUAAAAAGCAAAGACUAGAUCUUGUACCUUUUGCAUCAUGAUUUAGCUAGUAAACACCAAGCAAAGAGACCUUUAGUUUGAAACCCCGAAACCAGGUGAGCUACCCCGAGACAGCCUAUUAAGGGCUAACCCGUCUCUGUGGCAAAAGAGUGGGAAGAGCUCCGGGUAGAAGUGACAGACCUACCGAACCUGGUGAUAGCUGGUUGCCUAAGAAAUGGAUAAGAGUUCAGCCUCAUAUACCUCAAACCAGACAUAAUAUUAAUUAAGACAUAGAGAUAUAUAUGAGAGUUAGUUAAAGGGGGUACAGCCCCUUUAACAAAGGUUACAACCUUGUUUAGGAGAAUAAAGAUCAUAAUACAUAAAAUAUACUGUUCCAGUGGGCCUAAAAGCAGCCACCUAGACAGAAAGCGUUAAG